AGCGCGGAGGGGAAAUGGCUGCCAAAAACAAGUCGGAAGAGGAUCAUGGGAAUGCAGUGGCAGCCAAGUAAAAAAAUGUUUUUUUUACCAAAAAAGUUACUUGACUAUCUACUGAGACGUACAAGUUUACCCAAAGAGAGGCACCACUGGAAGAUUAACAAGAGGUCAUGAUGCAAAAGUCCAUUUGGAUUUCUUUUUAAUAAUGUGUGACCCUUCACCUUUGAUCUCUUGACCUGCAUUACGUUGGUCCAGACAUUGAGUAGAGCCUGCUACACACACAUCAGUUCUCAGUGUAACGACCCCUACUUAGGCCCUUAGAUAGAGGAGAGAUAGGUGCAGAAGACAGACAUCUUAAAAUAUCCAAAAUGAUUUUAUAAAUGCUCCAGAUAUUAGAAAUGACUUGAAUCUCCAAGGGACUGAAGUUAAAAAAAAGGUAUCCACUGCCUUAGAAGGAACUGAUGGAAUCCAAAUGCAGAAUGAAGUAUACUUUUUUUUCAUUUUACUUCCUCCAUGAAUUUUUUUGAACUUUUUCACACUAAAGACAGCAACAAAGUUUCACUUUUGCAAAAGAAAUUUAAUUUGCAUUCACUGAGAGGACUUAUGAAUCAUAAUGCUCUUUACAGAGUGGAAGACACACAAUCUGAUGUGUAGAAAGAAGUCAAGACCUGAGGAAUGAAGAUGUAUUCACUGCUUAGAUUGAUGGUUUUGUGUGUGAGAAAGUCUGCAUAUUGACUUACUUUGAUUUAGAAAAGAAUUAUUUCUAUAUAAUCUAAUAAUCAAAAAACUGAGAAUAUGGCAAAAGUAAAAGUAGUCCAAAUGUCAAAUGUACUGACAUUUCAUUAGGACUGCAAAUUACUACAGAUGGCCUUUCUCCUUUUUUAACCUUUGUCCAGUUAAUUAGCUCAUAAAUAAUCUCUUUUGGGGGAUACCAAGGGAAACAACACUGUAGCCUUAAUCCUAACGGAAGGGUUAGCAUAUUUACACAGAUGUAGCCAGUGAGCUUUAAGUCUACUGAUGGAUUUUGCUCUAGAUUUGGAACUGACCUGAAAGAAGAGAGCAGAAACCAGCUGGUGAAAAAUAAACUAUCAACUACAUUGUACA
rnacentral:lncRNA from 1 species